rnacentral:rRNA from 1 species
CCUACGGGUGGCAGCAGUGAGGAAUAUUGGUCAAUGGGCGGAAGCCUGAACCAGCCAAGUAGCGUGCAGGAUGACGGCCCUACGGGUUGUAAACUGCUUUUAUACGGGAAUAACGCGCCUUACGUGUAGGGCUUUGCAUGUACCGUAUGAAUAAGGACCGGCUAAUUCCGUGCCAGCAGCCGCGGUAAUACGGAAGGUCCGGGCGUUAUCCGGAUUUAUUGGGUUUAAAGGGAGCGUAGGCCGCACGUCAAGCGUGCUGUGAAAUUUCCGGGCUCAACCCGGGCCUGGCAGCGGAAACUGGCUGGCUUGAGUCGGCGGAAAGCAGGCGGAAUUCGUGGUGUAGCGGUGAAAUGCAUAGAUAUGACGAAGAACCCCGAUUGCGAAGGCAGCUUGCUGCAGCAGAACUGACGCUGAUGCUCGAAGGCGCGGGUAUCGAACAGGAUUAGAUACCCUAGUAGUC